rnacentral:rRNA from 1 species
UACGUAGGGGGCUAGCGUUGUCCGGAAUCAUUGGGCGUAAAGAGCGUGUAGGCGGCCCGGUAAGUCCGCUGUGAAAGUCGGGGGCUCAACCCUCGAAUGCCGGUGGAUACUGUCGGGCUAGAGUACGGAAGAGGCGAGUGGAAUUCCUGGUGUAGCGGUGAAAUGCGCAGAUAUCAGGAGGAACACCAAUUGCGAAGGCAGCUCGCUGGGACGUGACUGACGCUGAGGUGCGAAAGCGUGGGGGAGCAAACAGG